rnacentral:rRNA from 1 species
CCUACGGGAGGCAGCAGUAGGGAAUAUUGCUCAAUGGGGGAAACCCUGAAGCAGCAACGCCGCGUGGAGGAUGAAGGUUUUCGGAUUGUUAACUCCUUUUGUUAGAGAAGAUAAUGACGGUAUCUAACGAAUAAGCACCGGCUAACUCCGUGCCAGCAGCCGCGGUAAUACGGAGGGUGCAAGCGUUACUCGGAAUCACUGGGCGUAAAGAGCGCGUAGGCGGGAUAGCAAGUCAGAUGUGAAAUCCUAUGGCUUAACCAUAGAACUGCAUUUGAAACUGUUAUUCUAGAGUAUGGGAGAGGUAGGUGGAAUGCGUGGUGUAGGGGUAAAAUCCGUAGAGAUCAAGAGGAAUACUCAUUGCGAAGGCGACCUGCUAGAACAUAACUGACGCUGAUGCGCGAAAGCGUGGGGAGCAAACAGGAUUAGAUACCCCAGUAGUC